GAUGAACGCUGGCGGCGUGCCUAAUACAUGCAAGUCGAGCGAACGGACGAGAAGCUUGCUUCUCUGAUGUUAGCGGCGGACGGGUGAGUAACACGUGGAUAACCUACCUAUAAGACUGGGAUAACUUCGGGAAACCGGAGCUAAUACCGGAUAAUAUUUUGAACCGCAUGGUUCAAAAGUGAAAGACGGUCUUGCUGUCACUUAUAGAUGGAUCCGCGCUGCAUUAGCUAGUUGGUAAGGUAACGGCUUACCAAGGCAACGAUGCAUAGCCGACCUGAGAGGGUGAUCGGCCACACUGGAACGGAGACACGGUCCAGACUCCUACGGGAGGCAGCAGUAGGGAAUCUUCCGCAAUGGGCGAAAGCCUGAGGAGCAACGCCGCGUGAGUGAUGAAGGUCUUCGGAUCGUAAAACUCUGUUAUUAGGGAAGAACAUAUGUGUAAGUAACUGUGCACAUCUUGACGGUACCUAAUCAGAAAGCCACGGCUAACUACGUG
rnacentral:rRNA from 1 species